rnacentral:rRNA from 1 species
UACGGGGGGGGGCAAGCGUUGUUCGGAAUUACUGGGCGUAAAGAGCUCGUAGGCGGCUUGUCGCGUCGACUGUGAAAUCCCGCGGCUCAACUGCGGGUCUGCAGUCGAUACGGGCAGGCUAGAGUUCGGUAGGGGAGACUGGAAUUCCUGGUGUAGCGGUGAAAUGCGCAGAUAUCAGGAGGAACACCGGUGGCGAAGGCGGCUCUCUGGGCCUUACCUGACGCUGAGGAGCGAAAGCGUGGGGAGCGAACAGG